UACGGGGGGGGCAAGCGUUGUUCGGAAUUACUGGGCGUAAAGGGCGCGUAGGCGGCCCUCUAAGUCAGACGUGAAAUCCCACGGCUCAACCGUGGAACUGCGUCUGAUACUGGAGGGCUUGAAUCCGGGAGAGGGAUGUGGAAUUCCAGGUGUAGCGGUGAAAUGCGUAGAUAUUGGGAAGAACACCGGUGGCGAAGGCGGCGACCUGGUCCUUGACUGACGCUGAGGCGCGAAAGCGUGGGGAGCAAACAGG
rnacentral:rRNA from 1 species